AUGGCUCUGUCCCCAACUCUUGGUCAUGGACUCUCCUCAGAGCCCCUCAGUCAUCCCCUGGGUGCUCCUAGGGAGCUGGACGUUGCUGUAUGUACCAUCAUACCUGCAGAGGAGACAAACAGGUCAGACCAGGCCCAGGUCUCCUUGGGUCCUCCUGAACACGUCAUAGGUGAACUGAAGGACACUGAGCCUGCCAGCAGCGCCCGAAGACUAUCCCUGGCCUCUUCCCGUGAGCAUCAAGAUGGGGGCAAGAGCCGUGAGCAUGCUGUCUCUGGCCUGGAAGUACUAGAAACUGAGCAGGACAGCCUCCAUCUUUGUCUGUUGGGAUUGAGCUUCCAGCUACAGGACCUGGAACAAGGCCUGGGAUCUUGGACACUGGCCCACAGCAGGAUUGUCCAGCUACAGGCCCUACAGGCAGAGCUACGAGGGGCAGCCGAGCGUGUGGAUGCAUUACUGGCAUUUGGUGAGGGGUUGGCAGAGAGGAGUGAGCCCAGGGCCUGGGCAUCUCUGGAGCGGGUCCUGAGGGCCCUGGGAACCCACCGAGAUACCAUCUUUCAACGACUCUGGCAGCUACAGGCCCAGCUGAUCAGCUACAGCCUGGUGCUUGAGAAGGCCAACCUCCUGGACCAGGACUUGGAAGUUGAGGGAGACUCUGACGGGCCAACACCUGGUGGAAUCUGGGGGCCCUGGGCACCUAGUACCUACCCGACUCCUGCAGAGUUGGAAUGGGACCCAGCAGGGGAUGUUGGGGGUCUUGGGCCCUCAGGGAAAAAGAUAUCUCGGAUACCAGGAGUUCCCUGUGAGCUGUGUGGUUACAGGGGACCCCAGGGCAGCGGACAGGGCCUUGAGGACCUGCUCACGUUGGGGCUCGGCCACCGGAAACAUUUAGCAGCUCACCACCGAAGGCGUCUUCGGAAGCCUCAGGUGAGCCAGGAGCGGUAGAGGAUGUUGAUGGCAAGUAAAAGAGAUCCAACCCGUCUUGACUGCUACACACGUCACCAAUUCAGGACCUAGAAUGUUAUCAGGGCUCAAUCUCUGUCUUUUGGCCUCCUCUCCAGCCCCAGUCGCUACAGUCCCUUCUCUCUGCUUUACUAACCUACCCUUAUGACCCCUGACCUACUAGCAGUGGCCAAAGUCCCAGGCCUGACUUCACCUGGCCAGCUUGGGUCACAGGCUGCACCCUGGAACUAUUCAGAGUGCUCUGAUUGGCCAGGUCUGAGUCACAUGCCCCAUCAUGGAUGAGGGAAGAGUGGAAGUCAGUUUAACAUGACUCUGAAGGCCUGAGUGUAGAGGCACCCACACACCCACACACCAUCCCAGCAAUGUUAUCAGGAAAAGAGCAGUGGAUACACGAAGGACAGGACAAGAAGAGACAAGCAUCUCCCAGUCCACCGGAUGUGAUGCUGGAGGUUGAUCCUGGGGUCCCUGCUUCUGCUUCC